ensembl:lncRNA
GUCAGCGGUCAGGUACUCUAACGUCUAGGCCAUCCUGUAAAUCCCUGUGUUAUUGUUAGUUGACUGAGAUACUUGGUCAGUGGUCAGGUACUCUAACGUCUAGGCCAUCCUGUAAAUCCCUGUGUUAUUGUUAGUUGACUGAGAUAUUUGGUCAGCGGUCAGGUACUCUAACGUCUAGAGUACCUGACCGCUGGUGAAUUAAUAUGACAGGUUAUGGUUGUUAGGUUAGGAGAGUUAAUAUGAGAGGUUAUGGUUGUUAUGUUAGGAGAGUUAAUAUGAGAGGUUAUGGUUGUUAGGUUAGGAGAGUUAAUAUGAGAGGUUAUGGUAGUUAGGUUAGGAGAGUUAAUAUGAGAGGUUAUGGUUGUUAUGUUAGGAGAGUUAAUAUGAGAGGUUAUGGUAGUUAGGUUAGGAGAGUUAAUAUGAGAGGUUAUGGUAGUUAGGUUAGGAGAGUUAAUAUGAGAGGUUAUGGUAGUUAGGUUAGGAGAGUUAAUAUGAGAGGUUAUGGUAGUUAGGUUAGGAGAGUUAAUGACACUAUGGAAAUAAAGGAUUUGCUUGCCUUGGUACUAUUCGUAAUUUUUAUGGACAGAAUUUCUAGGCGCAGCCAGGGGCCGGAGGGGGUCAGGUUUGGGGACCACACAAUUUCGUCUCUGCUUUUUGCAGAUGAUGUUGUCGUGUUGGCCCCUUCUAACCAGGACCUUCAGCAUGCGCUGGGACGGUUUGCAGCCGAGUGUGAAGCGGUGGGGAUGAAAAUCAGUACCUCCAAAUCCGAGGCCAUGGUCCUCAGUCGGAAAAGGGUGGCUUGCCCGCUUCAGGUUGGUGGAGAGUGCCUGCCUCAAGUGGAGGAGUUUAAGUAUCUAGGGGUCUUGUUCACGAGUGAGGGAAGG